rnacentral:lncRNA from 1 species
AAAUUUUGUUAGGGCUGUCAUUUCAAACUACUAAAUAGAAUAAAAAGCUAUUUGUUUUCUAUAGAGGUUGAAUAAAACAUAGCCUCAUAUCAUUCUAUCUUGGGCUUUAAAUUUAAAAUUACUUAAGUGGGCCAGGUGUGGUGGCUCAUGUCUGUAAUCCCAGCACUUGGGGAGGCCAAGGUGGGCAGGUCAUUUGAGGUCAGGAGUUUGAAACCAGCCUGGCCAACAUGGUGAAAACCCAUCUCUACUAAAAAUACAAAAAUUAGCCACGUGUGGUGGGACGUGCUUUUGUAGUCCCUGCUACUCAGGAGGCUGAGGUGGGAAUAUUGUUUGAACCUGGGAGAUGGGGGUUGCAGUGAGCCAAGAUCUUGCCAGUGCACUCCAGCCUAGGGGACAGAGCAAGACUCCAUCUCAAAUAAAUAGAAAAUAAAAUUACUCAAGUGAAGGCUAAAGAAAUUUUCUUAAUAGAACCAACAAGCCCAGAAAAACGAUUAGCUCCAGUUUGAAUCGUAGGUAUAAAGAAAUCCACGUUGGUACACUGGUUGGAUUUCUCAACAUUGCUUCAACUAUUCCUUUUUUCUUUCUUUUUUCCUGCAAGAAGACAUCGGCACUCAUAGUGAUGGGGUAAAAUUGAUUUCAUUUUGGAGCAUGAAUUUAUAGUCUCUGCUGUAACAAGGACUUUUCAUUUCACGUGCUUUGAAAGAAAACUCAGUUGGGUUUUGGCCCACUGUUUUUGUUUUUCACUGUAUGUUUCACUGAGUACCUACCAUGUGCCCAUCACUUUUUUUUUUCUUUUUUUUUUUUUUUUUUUUUUUUUUUUUUUUUUUUUUGAGACAGAGACUCUUUCGCCCAGGCUGGAGUGCAGUGGCGCAAUCUGAGUUCACUGUAAUCUCCGCCUCUUGGGUUCAAGCAAUUCUCCUGCCCGAGCCUCCCAAGUAGCUGGCAUUACAGGCACAUGCCACCAUGCCUGGCUAAUUUUUGUAUUUUUAGUAGAGAUGGGGUUUCACCAUGUUGGCCGGGCUGGUCUCGAACUCCUGACCUUGUGAUGCACCCACCUCGGCCUCCCAAAGUGCUGGGAUUUACAGGCGUAAGCCACUGAGCCCAGUGCCUAGGACUAUAUUUUAAAAUAAGCAAUGAAAGAUUCUGUUUUAAUUUGGGAUGGACUAUAUUCAUUUGGACUCUUGCUCCUUGAGCUCUUCUGUACUUAAAUGGGACUAGCAGUUCUCAUCUCUGAGCUUCGGUUUUGUCAUUGAGUUAUGUUGAGGAUUAAAUACUAUACUGUAUGUGAUGCCAGAACUUAGUAUGUUGCCUGGCACACUAAGUUGACUCAGUAAAGGUUAGGAACUGGGCCAGUACAAUAAAUAUCAGGGUUUUGACAUUCAUCUUUAGAUUUUCAACAUGAAUUAAGACAUAUCUGACUGGAAGCCAGAAGAUGUGCUGAAUGAGCAUGUACAGAAGAUGUACACCAAGUUGAAUUACACUUUAGAUUGAAUUGGAGGAGUUUUUUUGGCUUGCUUGCUUGCUUGUUUACUCCAAGCUAAAAUUUAAAUCUGGAAAGAUUUCACCAUCCAAGCUGUCUAACCUAGAAGGUAGUAGAAAUGGACUCAAAGCUUCCAGAAUGUGUCAGAGCCCUUCAUAUGUGUUGUCCUACUUCAGUCUUGAGUCCUCAAGAGCUGUUUUCCAAAAUGGCUUUGGCAUUUUGGAAAAGUGCUGGAUUCACCUUAUGUUAAAUUAUGAGAAUGCAAAAGAUGAGAAUGACUUGUAGCUUCAAAGCUUCAAUGAGCUACUAACAAGUCUUGAGCACUUUCAGAUUUAUUACCUCUGUGGUCUCAUCACCAAUCAUGAAUUAACUGUUCUAAGACAAGGUAUGAAAUAGUUCUCGGUUUUGUAAUUAGAGCUAAAAGUAGAUCAGUAUCUUUUAUUCCUGCCUUUUUGUACUCCUCUUCCUUUUCUUCAGAGGCAGGAGAAAAGGGAUUGCUUAUAUUUCUACACAGAUGGAUUAACUGCCCUCUGUGAAUUCACAUGAACGUUCAUAAAUGGCCAAAACUUGGCAUGAUUGGGUAGUAGAGUUCUGUUUGUAAAAGGACCACUAUCAGGUAACAGUUUAAAUCUCCCAGUAAUCUUACCUUAUUUCUUAAUAUCCUUUUUAUCAUUAAAACUGUUUAGCAUAGAAAAAAGUUCCUACCAGAAAAACCAAGUGACUGGAAGAUAGUGGAAAUGACCAAGUGAAAUAGGAUCAGAAUGGGAACUAAUUAGGAACAUCAAGAAGGCAAGUGUAGGCAGGGUGUGAUGGCCCACAUCUAUAAUCCUAGCAUUUUGGGAGGCUGAGGUGGGAGCAUUGCUUGAGCCCAGGAGUUUGAGACCUGCCUGGGCAACAUGAUGAGAUCUCCAUCUCUAUGAAAAAAAUUAAAAAGAAAAAAAUGAGCUGGGCAUGGUGGUAUGUACCUAUGGUCCCAGCUACUCAGGAGACUGGGCAGGAGGAUUGCUUGAGCCCAGGAGGUUGGGGCUUCAGUGAGCCAUAUUCACACCACUGCGUUCCAGCCUGGGUGACAGAGCAAGGUGCUAUCUCCAAAAUAAAUAAAUAAAUGUUAAAUUUGCUUUUUUC